UAGAACUCAGAUGAUGAACUUACACCAACUUAAUUUCCAUCAAAGUCCGCAAUUAAAGAGUGAUACAAACUCAUCCUCCACUGAUCCACUCACAUGGAAUUUACACUAACACUAGACUUCCCAAUCUCAAUGUUGCCGUUGUUGGCGGUUCCGCAUUUCCCACUAUCAACAACGUGUUUGUUACUUCUCCACUUCCCUCCUUUUCGGUUAAAUAAUCGUAACUUCUUCACUUCAAAUCAUCAAUGUUUUCUUCAAUUCAAUUUUAUUACAAAUUUCAUCAUGUCAAUUACUCUCCCUUCAAUCCUCCCUCCUUUCAGCUUCAGCAAGGCAUUGAAAUUGGGGUUAUGGUCAAUUUGGUUAACUGGGUUCCUUCUAAUUUGCUUCUCAUUUUAUGCUACUUUGUUAUUGCCUUCUGUCAGAAUUGAAAUCAGAAAACCCAGUUUUCUGUACCCAAGAAAUUCAGCAGAUAAGAGUAACCCCAGUAUAACCCUUUUUAGUGCACCUAGCCCUUUUAAUAGCUCUGCUGGUAAAAGGCAGGCUCUUGCUGUUCGAUCAUGGCUUGGGUUAUCUCCUAACAUCAAUGUUGUUCUUUUUGGCAAUGACACUUCUCUUCAAUCAUUUGCUUCUUCCUUUGGCUCUCGUGUUUUCGUUGAAUCCGACAUCGAUUUCUCAUUCCUAAAUGUUCCGUUCUUCCAUUCCAUGGUUGCUAGAGCAGAGGUGUCCUCAUCUGAUAUUUCUGCUCUUAUUCAUCCUGAAACCGUUCUCCUUCCAGACUUUCUCUCCACUGUAAACCAUGUUUAUGAGCUUGAUCAUGAUUGGUUCCUUGUUGCCUCCUCAAAAAGUUCUUUCUUCCCAUUCUUUUUGGAUGAAUCUGGGAGGCAAUGGCUAAGAGAGGAUGGUAAACCCAUUUCAUUGCAGAAGUUGCAGGAGAUUCUUGCUUAUACGUGGCAAUGGGAUUACUGCGAAGGAAGGAUGCUAAUGGCAUGGAAUAACAAGGAUCUUUCUUUACAUAUGGGUGUUCUCCCUCCCUUCUUAUAUGGGAAAGGAGUACAUAAUCAUUGGCUCGUCAAUGAAGUAUAUCACUCCAACUAUAGGUUUGUGUUUGAUGCAAGUUGGACAAUUUCAAACUUACAUUUGCAUGAUUCGGAAGAUCAUGAACCUAUCCAAUCUGCUAGAGUUUCCACUUUUCGUGAACGUACAAAGACAGACUGGGAGUACAAUGGUAAUCUUCAGCUUGCGGAAUUGUAUGGCUUGUUUUCUUCUAAUAAAGUGAAUUUCUCUGACUUCGUAAAGCUUGUAAAGUGUGGUAGACAGUUCAUGUUUACCAACGAAGAUCAGAAUGUUGUUUAUUCACCUAAACAUCACAGCUUAAAUAGCUUGUGGAAGGGACGGAUUGUGGAGUCUAGGACGCAAAAGAAACUAGCCGCUUGUCUUGCUGCGUUUAGCUCUCCGCCUUGGAUUAUGAAUUCCUCUGUUAAGAACAAGAUGAGUGGUUCUGUGCCCCUUCGUCUUCCAUAUGGCUUGGAAAUGCUCCUGCCUAUUUUAGCUGACGGAAACAAGACAGUGGUGCUUACUGUUGCCGGAUACAGCUACAAGGACAUGUUGAUGAGUUGGGUUUGCAGAUUGCGUCAUCUAAUGGUUAAUAAUCUUCUUGUUUGUGCGCUUGAUGAUGAAACAUAUGAGUUCUCUAUCCAACAGGGCAUCCCUGUUUUCAGGGACUCAUUAGCACCUAGAAACAUCAGUUUCAAUGAUUGUCACUUUGGGACUAAGUGCUUUCAAAAGGUCACCAAGACAAAAUCCAGAUUAGUUUUGCAGAUUUUGAAGCUGGGUUAUAAUGUACUUCUAAGUGAUGUUGAUGUUUACUGGUUCAAAAAUCCAAUUCCAUUACUACAGACUUUUGGUCCUGCUGUAUUUGCUGCACAAUCUGACGAAUACAAUCUGACAGUGCCUAUCAACUUACCAAGACGCUUGAACUCUGGAUUCUAUUUUGCUCGGGCUGAUGAUCCAACCGUCGCUGCCAUGGAGAAAGUGGUGAUGCAUGCUAUGACUUCAGACCUAUCUGAGCAGCCAAGUUUUUAUGACACUCUAUGUGGUUUAAAUGGCGCAAAUCGUGUUGGAGAUGAUAGAUGCCGGGAACCUAGAACAAAUCUUACUGUUCAGUUUCUGGACAGGAACCUCUUCCCUAAUGGGGCCUACAAAGGUUUGUGGGAGGAAAAAAAUGUUCGAGCAGCUUGUGCAGAAAAGGGAUGCUACGUUCUCCACAAUAAUUGGAUUAGUGGGAGGAUAAAGAAGCUAGAACGUCAGGUACAUUCAGGGCUAUGGGAUUAUGAUAUUAGCUCAAGGAUGUGUUUACAUAGCUGGCAUAAAAUGAAGGCAUUAAACUUUACCUAAAACAGGAGUUGGAAUUUACUGAACUUUUGCUCUUUAAGUUUGAUUUUCACAUAAGCUGAACAGCAGAUGAACAAGUGUACAGUUCUGUAACUUCUGUUUUUGUUCCUAAACUGGGUUCUGCUGCAACAUGCUUUGGUAGAAAGAACACUGGAUUGGUAAAUUCUCACUCCAAAAGGGGUAAAGAAGAGAUAUGUUCAAAAAGUUACUGGAGGCUAUAGUUGCUGACCAUGUUUACAAAAGAUGCUAAACGGGCUGUUUUUUUGGUUGGGACUAGUAUGUUCUAUCAUCAGAAAUGCAAAAGAGUGUAGUUGUUAUGCAGAAACUGCCAGUGAACCUUUUCUUGAGGAUUUUUGGUGGAUAAAGACCGGACGGGUUAUUCCAAGUGUUGCACUGAUCACAAGAUAUUGAAUGUCUGCAUGAUCUAAAACCAAUCAGGAUUUUCUUCCAGGAAAGUAAUAUCAAAGGUUUUCUUUUCAAGAUCUUGUUUGUUCCUGGUGAAGAAUCAUGCUUCAAAUUUAAGAGUAAAGGAAAGAGUGGUAAUUCUUUUUCAUGUCUCUGACUAGAGGCUGCUUCCUACGCUAUCUGACUUGAGUGACUAAUGGUGAUCGUUCAAGAUGUUAUGGAUGAUCAAACCAGAGAAGGAACUUCAGAGAUUUCUGAAAUAUACAUACCUGUAACCAAGUACCAGCAGCUGCAAGGGAAGAAAGAAGUCCUGCAAACAGCAAUGAAUCCUUCCCCUGAAAAACAUUAGCAACAAGAAUUCCCUUCUGCAUUGUGCUUGUGACAUGUGUACCCAUCAACAACGCCCCGGAAAACUCCAAAACAGCGGCUGUCAGAACCGCCUGUCGUAUCGUCAGAGCACCGGACCCCACAGACGUCCCCAUUGCAUUAGCUACAUCAUUCGCCCCGAUAUUCCAAGCCAUGUAAAACCCGAAAAGCAAGGUAACAUAUGAAAGCACCCUAGUUUUAAAGGGCAUCCCUUGACCAAUUGACUUCAUAAAGAAAGGAAAGGUAAGAGCAGCACAUGCUAUGCAUACUGAUAUUGCAACAGCUGUUUUAGAUGAUAUGUUAAAUGCUUGAGCCAUUCCCGAUUUCGCCCCCCCUUCGUCAUCACGGUGAUCAUCGGCGUUGAUAACAUCUUCUUCGUGUUCUUGGCCGUCUGCAUCAGCAAAGGAAGACAGGGAAGCAAGAGGGUAGGUAAACCUUGAAUUAUUCCUUAGCCUUAGAAUAGGAUGAGAAGAUUUGAGUGGUGGAAGUUGAAGCUUAAAAAGAGGAAGGUGGUGAUGAUAGUGAUGUUUAGGAAGGUAGGAGGCGGCGGCAGCCGUGGUGGUGGCUGUGGUGUUUCGGGUUGAAGAUAAGAGGCAAGAGGAAGUCAUGGUUGAUGAUGAUCAAUGGAGGAGGAGGAGGAGAGAGAUAGCGAGCGAGGUGGUGGAAGAGGAGGAGACAAAAUGUUAAUCAGUUGAGUGAGCUCAUAGUAGCCAUGGAAUCUGAAGAUGAGAGAGGAAAGAAGAGGAAGUGGGCAUCAAGCAUUUUUUGAAAAUAAAGUCAUGUUUGGUGGAGAAUGGUGAGAAUGGAUUUGGAUGUUUGUUGUGGUUUUCUCAUAACCACACACCCUGUUCUUUCUUUUAGAAAUGUCCCUAUUAUCAGAUUCUUAACAAAAUUGAGCUCUUAUACUCUUAUGAGUCUUAUCCAUUGAUAACCACGUAGGAUUCACAUAUUUUAUCUUCUUAUGAGGACACUUUGACUUAAAUUUCCUAUUUACUUAUCCAACAUCUCUUGUGAUUUAUGUUUAGGAUUAGUAGUGUAGAGUUUGUUGAUCAAGCAAUGGUGGACCUUCUUUAUGGCCGAAAGGAGAUCACGUCCCCCAAACUUAAAAAUUAAGUAGUGGAUUUUUAGUUCAUGCUCUGUAAAUUUGAGUACAUUUGUAUAAUUCUCAUAUUAUAUUGCCUAAUUUUUUACUGGUUUCUCUGAUUAAA